UACGUAGGUGGCAAGCGUUGUCCGGAUUUACUGGGCGUAAAGGGUGCGUAGGCGGCCAUUUACGUCAGAUGUGAAAUGCCCGAGCUUAACUUGGGUGCUGCAUUUGAAACUGGGUGGCUAGAGUGCAGGAGAGGUAAGUGGAAUUCCUAGUGUAGCGGUGAAAUGCGUAGAGAUUAGGAAGAACACCAGUGGCGAAGGCGACUUACUGGACUGUAACUGACGCUGAGGCAUGAAAGCGUGGGGAGCAAACAGG
rnacentral:rRNA from 1 species